GCGACAUUGGUGUAGCGGUUAGCAUUGAAGCCUUCCAAGCUUUAGUCCUGGGUUCAAAUCCCGGAUGUCACA
rnacentral:tRNA from 1 species